rnacentral:rRNA from 1 species
AUUGAACGCUGGCGGCAGGCCUAACACAUGCAAGUCGAACGGUAACAGGAAGAAGCUUGCUUCUUUGCUGACGAGUGGCGGACGGGUGAGUAAUGUCUGGGAAACUGCCUGAUGGAGGGGGAUAACUACUGGAAACGGUAGCUAAUACCGCAUAACGUCGCAAGACCAAGGAGGGGGACCUUCGGGCCUCUUGCCAUCGGAUGUGCCCAGAAGGGAUUAGCUAGUAGGUGGGGUAACGGCUCACCUAGGCGACGAUCCCUAGCUGGUCUGAGAGGAUGACCAGCCACACUGGAACUGAGACACGGUCCAGACUCCUACGGGAGGCAGCAGUGGGGAAUAUUGCACAAUGGGCGCAAGCCUGAUGCAGCCAUGCCGCGUGUAUGAAGAAGGCCUUCGGGUUGUAAAGUACUUUCAGCGGGGAGGAAGGGAGUAAAGUUAAUACCUUUGCUCAUUGACGUUACCCGCAGAAGAAGCACCGGCUAACUCCGUG